rnacentral:rRNA from 1 species
AUUCCAGCUCCAAGAGCGAGCAUUGUUUCUGCUGCAGUUAAAAAGCUCGUAGUUGAACUUUUGGGUUGAGCGUUUCGGGCGGGCUUUCAUUAGUCUGUCAUCGAUUCGGCUCGGUCCCUUCGUGGGGUUUGGUUUGUUGGGCAUUCAUUUGUCUCUCAGGCUUCCCACCUUUUACUGUGAGGAAAUCUACGCGCUCAAAGCCUUUUUUUGAAAGAAAGCUCCAGCACGGAAUGAUAAGAUACGACUUCUUCGAUCUUGUUGGUUUGUCGAUUAAGUAAUGAUAAAUAGAAAUAGUCGGGGCAAUCUGUAUUGGCGCGUCAGAGGUGAAAUUCUUGGAUCGCGGCAAGACAACCAACAGCGAAGGCAUUUUGCAAGGAUGUUUUCAUCG